ACUUUUAUAGCUUAUAUAGAGCAUAAUAUUGAAGAUAUUAAGGAGAUUUUUAAAUUUAGAGGUA
rnacentral:tRNA from 1 species